GACGAACGCUGGCGGCGUGCUUAACACAUGCAAGUCGAACGGAAAGGCUCCAGCUUGCUGGAGUACUCGAGUGGCGAACGGGUGAGUAACACGUGGGUAAUCUGCCCUGCACUCUGGGAUAAGCCUGGGAAACUGGGUCUAAUACUGGAUAUGACCUUUCUCCUUAUGGGGUUUGGUGGAAAGUUUUUCGGUGUAGGAUGAGCCCGCGGCCUAUCAGCUUGUUGGUGGGGUGAUGGCCUACCAAGGCGACGACGGGUAGCCGGCCUGAGAGGGUGAUCGGCCACAUUGGGACUGAGAUACGGCCCAGACUCCUACGGGAGGCAGCGGUGGGGAAUAUUGCACAAUGGGCGGAAGCCUGAUGCAGCGACGCCGCGUGAGGGAUGACGGCCUUCGGGUUGUAAACCUCUUUCAGCAGGGACGAAGCGUAAGUGACGGUACCUGCAGAAGAAGCACCGGCUAACUACGUG
rnacentral:rRNA from 1 species